AACGCUGGCGGCGUGCUUAACACAUGCAAGUCGAACGUAGCACUUUAUUUGAUUUCCUUCGGGACUGAUUAUUUUGUGACUGAGUGGCGGACGGGUGAGUAACGCGUGGGUAACCUGCCUUGUACAGGGGGAUAACAGUUGGAAACGGCUGCUAAUACCGCAUAAGCGCACAGCAUCGCAUGAUGCAGUGUGAAAAACUCCGGUGGUAUAAGAUGGACCCGCGUUGGAUUAGCUAGUUGGUGAGGUAACGGCCCACCAAGGCGACGAUCCAUAGCCGACCUGAGAGGGUGACCGGCCACAUUGGGAUUGAGACACGGCCCAAACUCCUACGGGAGGCAGCAGUGGGGAAUAUUGCACAAUGGGCGAAAGCCUGAUGCAGCGACGCCGCGUGAGCGAAGAAGUAUUUCGGUAUGUAAAGCUCUAUCAGCAGGGAAGAUAAUGACGGUACCUGACUAAGAAGCACCGGCUAAAUACGUGCCAGCAGCCGCGGUAAUACGUAUGGUGCAAGCGUUAUCCGGAUUUACUGGGUGUAAAGGGAGCGCAGGCGGUGCGGCAAGUCUGAUGUGAAAGCCCGGGGCUCAACCCCGGUACUGCCUUGGAAACUGUCGUACUAGAGUGUCGGAGGGGUAAGCGGAAUUCCUAGUGCAGCGGUGAAAUGCGUAGAUAUUAGGAGGAACACCAGUGGCGAAGGCGGCUUACUGGACGAUAACUGACGCUGAC
rnacentral:rRNA from 1 species